GGAUGCGAUCAUACCAGCACUAAAGCACCGGAUCCCAUCAGAACUCCGAAGUUAAGCGUGCUUGGGCGAGAGUAGUACUAGGUGAGUUAAGCGUGCUUGGACGAGAGUAGUACUAGGAUGGGUGACCUCCUGGGAAGUCCUCGUUUUGCAUCCC
rfam:Oryza sativa (indica cultivar-group) chromosome 3, whole genome shotgun sequence.